AUGAUUGGCCUCUGCGACGUGCUGCUGCUGUUGUUUCUUGGAGUUCCUGGAGCGCUCCGGAGUGCGUUCUUGAGCGUUUCUUGGUUUCCUCUUGAGCAGUUCAACUCGCUGCGCGCGGAAGGGGCGAUGUGUAGGAAGGAACAGGAGAAACUAUCACAAGUAAAGACUGUGGGAAAGGUGAGACCCAAGCAGGACAAACUUUUCUCAAAAAAGGGCGCCAAGCUGGACAAACUACUGCUAGUAAAGGGGAAAUCGGCCCCGAGUCGGCUUAAGAGCAAGAAUUUUUGUAGAAAAGGAAGGGGAAUAUGGCCGGAACAUGUGAAGCACCAGACACUUCGCAUAUCUGAAGUCAGAAGGCACAAUAAGCUUACUUCUGACGAGGCGAACCAUCUUGAUGCUUAUUCAGAAUGUAGACCGGAGCAAGUUAUUGAUAGGCAGGACACACAUGAGGAACGCCGUCUCCUUAGAAGAGUGUCUACACAACGUGCAAAUCUUCAAUGGAACUCUGAGUUUUCCCGGAGCAGAAGAGAGAUGCACAAUUGCUUAACAGUAGUGGCAUACCGUCACAGUUUUACACAAUGUUGGCACAAACUCAAAUUUGAAGCUUAUUGUGAAGCUAACAACCCGAUUGCAUUUAAGGAGCUGAUUGAGAACGUAAUGAAAUGGAAGAGAACGGAAUCAACUAGCAGAUUACUAGUAGCUAUCCAGAUAUGCUCGCACAGGGAGGUGUAUGAACCGAUUAUACAAGGGCCCGGAGGAAAUUACAGUCUGGAAGUUUACGUCAUUCCAGCUCGUGUGUACGCGGACCAUGUUAUGAUGGUGGCUUUGGCCAGAGCGCUUGAGGUCCCCCUCAGAGUGGAAUCACUCCAACGAGGAUAUGCUCCAGAUAUCUACACUGGUCCUGGAGUUCCCCGUCCGAGCGUGACCCUCCUGUACACAGGUGAUCACUACGACAUCAUCUACCCACGCGCUCCUUCUGCUGAGGUUUCAAGUCACCGGGCUUCCCAGAGAGAACAUCCUGGUGGUCAGAAUUCAAGUCAUAAGGCUUCCCAGAGAAAACAUCCUGGUGAUCAGAGUUCAAGUCAACAGACUUUCUAG
rnacentral:rRNA from 1 species